rnacentral:rRNA from 1 species
AGCUCCAGUAGCGUAUAUUAAAGUUGUUGCAGUUAAAAAGCUCGUAGUUGGAUUUCUGGCUUGAGACGCCUGGUCCGCCAGGGUUACCUGUGUGAGUACCGGUGUGUCUCUGCCAUCCUUCUGGAUAGCGUGUCUACCUUUCAUUAGGCCGGGCUCGUGCUCCAGAUCUUUUACUUUGAAAAAAUUAGAGUGUUUAAAGCAAGCUUGCGCUAUGAAUACAUUAGCAUGGAAUAAUAACUUAGGACUUUGGUUCUAUUUUGUUGGUUUCUAGGACUGAAGUAAUGAUUGAUAGGGAUAGUUGGGGGUGCUAGUAUUCAGCGGCCAGAGGUGAAAUUCUUGGAUUCGCUGAAGACUAACUUAUGCGAAAGCAUUCACCAAGGAUGUCUUCUUUAAUCAAGAA